GCCUUCCCGGUGAGUCUGCGGGCUUAAACGGACGCGGUAAAGCGUGCUAAGGUAGCUAAAUUAUGGCCUAUUAAUUGUAGGUCCUGUGAAUGGUUUGACGAGUCUUCAACUGUCUCUAGUUUUUUUGGUGAACUUGAAUUGGAUGUGCAAAUGCUUCCAUGGGUAAGAAAGACGAGAAGACCCCGUGAAGUUAGAAAUUUUGGUUGUUGGUGAGCUUUUAGGGUGUAGGUUAAGUCACUUUAAGUGGUUUAAAGAAAAGUGAACAGCGAUAGUUUUGGCUGGGGCAGCAAAGAAGCAAGGCUAGACUUCUUUAGUUUAAAGACAGGUGUGUGACGACCCACAAGUUUGUUGGUGUGAUUAGCAGAAGAAGUUACUCCGGGGAUAACA
rnacentral:rRNA from 1 species